rnacentral:rRNA from 1 species
UACGUAGGGGGCAAGCGUUGUCCGGAAUUAUUGGGCGUAAAGCGCGCGCAGGCGGUCGAUUAAGUCUCAUGUCUAAACCCGGGGCUCAACCUCGGGGUGCAUGGGAAACUGGGCGACUGGAGUGCAGGAGAGGAAAGUGGAAUUCCACGUGUAGCGGUGAAAUGCGUAGAGAUGUGGAGGAACACCAGUGGCGAAGGCGACUUUCUGGCCUGUAACUGACGCUGAGGCGCGAAAGCGUGGGGAGCAAACAGG